UAAGGGGCGCUGUAAGGGCGACACCUGGCGGCGAGGAGGUAGACUGCAGGCGGCGCUCUGCACCAGUGCACGGGGUCUCCCCCACGCCUCCCCCGUCGCAGGGGCAUAUAGUCAUCAGCUGGGUAUAGAGCGUUAGCAUUGCACGGGGGUGCAGCCAAAAUACCCGCAAGUACGCGCCAAUACGGUCAUUCCUGGCACCUUCCUGGUCACCCUGCAGCCUUUAGAGCUUUAUUUCCUUACAGUACACAGGAACCACAUAAAAAGGAGGCAGCCAUCUUGGGCGCACUACAGCGAUUACAGUGGGUGAAUCCAAAAUACGAAAUUCAAGCAUAAGAUACAGGAUGCCUCCAGAGACAUCAGUUCUGUGGAUCACCAGAAAACAUCACCGCAUCCCCGGGGAUCCAUUCUCCCACCUCUGCAGCCACCUGGACUAGGAUAUCUGUCUGCAUUUCCAGUUAUGACUAUCUGCUGGGUCUGGUGUCUACAGCUAUACA